rnacentral:lncRNA from 1 species
AAGAUGAGGAAGAAGAUCUUCUCCUUGGUCCUCUUCUUCUUCUCCUUUCCUUUCUCUCUUUCUUCUUCUCUUCUUUUUUCUCUUUUCUUUCUUUCUUUCUUCUCCUCCCUUGCACGAUCAGAGAGAGGGAGAGAGAGAGAGAGGCUGAGGGAGUGAGAGAGAGAGAGAGAGAGAAGCCUCUCUAAUAACCCCUCAUAUGGCCAUUUUGCACAUAAACCCCUCCACUUUUCAUCUCUUACACAGCCCUCACUGGGCGUUCUGCACGU